rnacentral:rRNA from 1 species
CCUACGGGGAGCAGCAGUGGGGAAUAUUGCACAAUGGGCGAAACCCUGAUGCAGCGACGCCGCGUGAGCGAGGAAGUAUCUCGGUAUGUAAAGCCCUGUCAGCAGGGAAGAAGAAUGACGGUACCUGAAGAAGAAGCACCGGCCAAAUACGUGCCAGCAGCCGCGGUAAUACGUAUGGUGCAAGCGUUAUCCGGAUUUUCUGGGUGUAAAGGGAGUGCAGGCGGUUCUGCAAGUCUGAUGUGAAAGCCCGGGGCUCAACCGCGGGACUGCAUUGGAAACUGCGGGACUGGAGUGUCGGAGGGGUAAGCGGAAUGCCUGGUGUAGCGGUGAAAUGCGUAGAUAUACGGAGGAACACCAGUGGCGAAGGCGGAUUGCUGGACAGUAACUGACGCUGAGGCGCGAAAGCGUGGGGAGCGAACAGGAUUAGAUACCCGAGUAGUC